rnacentral:rRNA from 1 species
AUACGUAGGGGGCGAGCGUUAUCCGGAAUUAUUGGGCGUAAAGAGUACGUAGGUGGUUUCCUAAGCGAGGGGUUUAAGGCACUGGCUUAACCAAUGUUCGCCCCCCGAACUGGGGAACUUGAGUGCUGGAGAGGAAAGCGGAAUUCCUAGUGUAGCGGUGAAAUGCGUAGAUAUUAGGAGGAACACCAGUGGCGAAGGCGGCUUUCUGGACAGUAACUGACACUGAGGUACGAAAGUGUGGGGAGCAAACAGGAUUAGAUACCCUGGUAGUCCACACCGUAAACGAUGAGCACUAGGUGUCGGGCUCGCAAGAGUUCGGUGCCGCAGUUAACGCAUUAAGUGCUCCGCCUGGGGAGUACGUACGCAAGUAUGAAACUCAAAUGAAUUGACGGGG